UACGGGGGGGGCAAGCGUUGUUCGGAAUUACUGGGCGUAAAGGGCUCGUAGGCGGCCAACUAAGUCAGACGUGAAAUCCCUCGGCUUAACCGGGGAACUGCGUCUGAUACUGGAUGGCUAGAGGUUGGGAGAGGGAUGCGGAAUUCCAGGUGUAGCGGUGAAAUGCGUAGAUAUCUGGAGGAAUACCGGUGGCGAAGGCGGCAUCCUGGACCGAGAUUGACGCUGAUGAGCGAAAGCUAGGGGAGCAAACGGG
rnacentral:rRNA from 1 species